rnacentral:rRNA from 1 species
GAGUUUGAUCAUGGCUCAGAGUGAACGCUGGCGGCAGGCCUAACACAUGCAAGUCGAACGGCAGCACAGUCCCGCAAGGGAUGGGUGGCGAGUGGCGGACGGGUGAGGAAUACAUCGGAAUCUACCUUGUCGUGGGGGAUAACGUAGGGAAACUUACGCUAAUACCGCAUACGACCUACGGGUGAAAGCGGCGGACCGCAAGGCGUCGCGCGAUUGGAUGAGCCGAUGUCCGAUUAGCUAGUUGGCGGGGUAAUGGCCCACCAAGGCGACGAUCCGUAGCUGGUUUGAGAGAACGACCAGCCACACUGGGACUGAGACACGGCCCAGACUCCUACGGGAGGCAGCAGUGGGGAAUUUUUGGACAAUGGGGGCAACCCUGAUCCAGCCAUGCCGCGUGUGUGAAGAAGGCCUCGGUUGUAAGU